rnacentral:misc_RNA from 1 species
AUUUAAUAGCUCUUGGGGCCUUUUGAUUAGGCUUUCUAAUUAGAUAUCCUUGUAAGAGCUUAAAGCUGUAUCUUUUAGAUUAAAUCAGUGCUUAGGGUUUAUGGUGUUGUACGUGGUUGUUGUGGAUUGAAUUGAAUGCAAUGUUGAUCUGUCAUUUGAGGGUGUUUGGGUUAACAUUUUACUUUGGGGAAAUGGCAGGAGACAAUCUAAAUAUAGUCGGCAAUGGUUGCAUAGAUUGGUUAUUUUGAAGAAUGAUCAUGUAUCUGUGGACACUUGAGUUUGAUUGGAUGCUAGCUUUUUUGUCUAAUGUACCAAGGAAAGCUUGUUGAGGAUUUAUGUUGCAAAUUAUAAUGCAACAAAUAGUACCGAAAUGCAUUGGAGGAUAAGGGUUGAUCUUAGUAGUUUCUUUUGAUGCAGCCUUUUCUAUAGGUUUCUAUUAAGGACUCGUGUG